GAUUAAUCAUUGGUGUCUGGCCGUUUCCAAACGUUGCAAGAAAUGCAAGGUUGACAAAAUCAUAGUUUCCUGUCGAGCACAUCUCAGCCAAGAGUAUGUAUGAAGAAAGUGAUGGUGUGGUGAAAAGUGUUUGAGAUGCUUAGUUUAUAUAGUGAAGAGAUGGGCCUAAUGGCAUGCUUUUGUUUUGGAGUGUUCUUAGAAACAAGCACCUUGGAGGUCACUCUGCUGAAUCGUUAAAGAUUCGGGAUUGGGUGGACACUUCUGCUUAUCAUUCAGGAUGGAUGGCAUAUAUACAUUUCUGGGAAGGAGGACACAGAAGCAUAGCCUGAUUCUUGUCAAUCUCAUGGAGAAUGUUUGAAUUUUUGAAGAAUAAUUAACGAUUAUAAGCUGUACUGUUGCAUUAAGAUUGUACAAUUUUUAGCGUAUAAAGGCUCAGAUACAUAGUGUGCUAUCUGUCCAAGA